rnacentral:tRNA from 1 species
CCGGCCAGGUAGUCGAGGCUGGCCGGGAGUCCCUGGCCAAUGCUCUGGGCGAAGCGCCGCAGUGCCUGGUGGUGACGCCGUUCCAGAGCGGUGUUGGCCAGG